GAUGAACGCUGGCGGCGUGCCUAAUACAUGCAAGUCGAGCGAACAGACGAGGAGCUUGCUCCUCUGACGUUAGCGGCGGACGGGUGAGUAACACGUGGAUAACCUACCUAUAAGACUGGGAUAACUUCGGGAAACCGGAGCUAAUACCGGAUAAUAUAUUGCACCGCAUGGUUCAAUAGUGAAAGACGGUUUUGCUGUCACUUAUAGAUGGAUCCGCGCCGCAUUAGCUAGUUGGUAAGGUAACGGCUUACCAAGGCAACGAUGGGUAGCCGACCUGAGAGGGUGAUCGGCCACACUGGAAGUGAGACACGGUCCAGACUCCUACGGGAGGCAGCAGUAGGGAAUCUUCCGCAAUGGGCGAAAGCUUGACGGAGCAACGCCGCGUGAGUGAUGAAGGUCUUAGGAUCGUAAAGCUCUGUUAUUAGGGAAGAACAAAUGUGUAAGUAACUAUGCACGUCUUGACGGUACCUAAUCAGAAAGCCACGGCUAACUACGUG
rnacentral:rRNA from 1 species